CACGUAGGCACCAAGCGUUGUCCGGAUUUAUUGGGCGUAAAGAGCUCGUAGGCGGUUCAGUAAGUCGGGUGUGAAAACUCUGGGCUUAACCCAGAGCCGCCACCCGAUACUGCUGUGACUUGAGUCCGGUAGGGGAGUGGGGAAUUCCUAGUGUAGCGGUGAAAUGCGCAGAUAUUAGGAGGAACACCGGUGGCGAAGGCGCCACUCUGGGCCGGUACUGACGCUGAGGAGCGAAAGCGUGGGGAGCAAACAGG
rnacentral:rRNA from 1 species